CCUACGGGAGGCUGCAGUAGGGAAUAUUGCUCAAUGGGGGAAACCCUGAAGCAGCAACGCCGCGUGGAGGAUGAAGGUUUUCGGAUUGUAAACUCCUUUUGUUAGAGAAGAUAAUGACGGUAUCUAACGAAUAAGCACCGGCUAACUCCGUGCCAGCAGCCGCGGUCAUACGGAGGGUGCAAGCGUUACUCGGAAUCACUGGGCGUAAAGAGCGCGUAGGCGGGAUAGCAAGUCAGAUGUGAAAUCCUAUGGCUUAACCAUAGAACUGCAUUUGAAACUGUUAAUCUAGAGUAUGGGAGAGGUAGGUGGAAUUCGUGGUGUAGGGGUGAAAUCCGUAGAGAUCAAGAGGAAUAC
rnacentral:rRNA from 1 species